rnacentral:rRNA from 1 species
UACGUAGGGGGCAAGCGUUGUCCGGAUUUAUUGGGCGUAAAGAGCGUGUAGGCGGCUAUACAGGUCCGCUGUGAAAACUCGAGGCUCAACCUCGAGCUGUCGGUGGAAACCGCGUGGCUAGAGUCCGGAAGAGGGGACUGGAAUUCCCGGUGUAGCGGUGGAAUGCGCAGAUAUCGGGAGGAACACCCGUGGCGAAGGCGGGUCCCUGGGACGGUACUGACGCUGAGACGCGAAAGCGUGGGGAGCGAACAGG